CUUGGUUAACUCCAGCUGCCCCCAUAGCAUUCAGGAGCCAUCCCCCAGAUACCAAAACCUGCAGGGAAGCACUGAAGGCCAAAACAAGGUAACAAAGCUGCUAGGAGCAAUUGGAGAGGAGAUUGCUGAGAUUUCUGCCAAAGAAUUGAAAAGCUCCAGUUCCUGCAGUGGGACCCCCCCAGCCCAGGGAGUGACUUGGUUCACCUUCAGCAUCUGCUUGCUCUGCGGUGUGAGGCAGGAAGGGUCACUUGUCCAUGGAAAAUGACGUGGAAGAAAAGCAAGGUUUUAAAGAGGGCUUUGUGUAUGAGCUGGGCUUGCUUCUGGUGCCUAAUUUGGUCCAUCCUGAACACCCCUUGGCUUCAUGGUGGGGAAGCCCUGAAACAUUGAGUGACCUACCCCAAAAAUCCAUCCAAUGGAUUUGCUGGUCCUGGAGUGGAGAUUCAUCUGGGGAACAAAACAAAACAACAAACCAAAGGUCAGUCACCAAGCAGGGAAGGGACCAAGGUGUUUCAAGGUUGGGA
rnacentral:lncRNA from 1 species